AGAGUUUGAUCAUGGCUCAGGACGAACGCUGGCGGCGUGCCUAAUACAUGCAAGUCGAGCGGACAGAUGGGAGCUUGCUCCCUGAUGUUAGCGGCGGACGGGUGAGUAACACGUGGGUAACCUGCCUGUAAGACUGGGAUAACUCCGGGAAACCGGGGCUAAUACCGGAUGCUUGUUUGAACCGCAUGGUUCAGACAUAAAAGGUGGCUUCGGCUACCACUUACAGAUGGACCCGCGGCGCAUUAGCUAGUUGGUGAGGUAACGGCUCACCAAGGCGACGAUGCGUGGCCGACCUGAGAGGGUGAUCGGCCACACUGGGACUGAGACACGGCCCAGACUCCUACGGGAGGCAGCAGUAGGGAAUCUUCCGCAAUGGACGAAAGUCUGACGGAGCAACGCCGCGUGAGUGAUGAAGGUUUUCGGAUCGUAAAGCUCUGUUGUUAGGGAAGAACAAGUGCCGUUCAAAUAGGGCGGCACCUUGACGGUACCUAACCAGAAAGCCACGGCUAACUACGUGCCAGCAGCCGCGGUAAUACGUAGGUGGCAAGCGUUGUCCGGAAUUAUUGGGCGUAAAGGGCUCGCAGGCGGUUUCUUAAGUCUGAUGUGAAAGCCCCCGGCUCAACCGGGGAGGGUCAUUGGAAACUGGGGAACUUGAGUGCAGAAGAGGAGAGUGGAAUUC
rnacentral:rRNA from 1 species